rnacentral:lncRNA from 1 species
GCUAAUUGCCGAGGUCCUCUUCUAGGAUUGGUUGUCCACUCAUAACCAUAAGAUAAUUAAAACGGGGGGGGGCAGGGUAAAAAAAAAACCCUUUUAUCAGCCAUAGGUUAAUGCAAGUGUUUAACAGAUGCUUCGCUAUUAAAAUAUUUCCCCCCAAUACUGAAGAAUCUUAAACCAGCAACCCUAACAGAGAUUGCGAAGAUUUUCAAAGUGGGGCACCUCGAUUUCUCGAAUCUGUGGUGUGGCGAAUAUCCGUGUUCCUCCUGCUUAACUAGCCUGUUUGAAGGCACAGUUCAUUCUCGAGCAAUUCGUCACCUCCUGGGGGUCUUCUCUUCCCGUCUACAGGAGAGUGUGACUUCAGAAAGAACUUCGGAUUGGCCAAGGUCUGAUUCUAUUUAUUCUAAAGACAGAGUUGGAGAUGGGCUACCAUUGGUGUUGAUUGAGAUGACAAGCAGUCACCUGAGCCCAUACAGCUGGUAAGUAGAACAGUACUGGAGAGAUGGCUCAGCAGUUAAGAGCACUGACUGCUCUUCCAGAGAUCCUGAGUUCAAUUCCCAGCAACCACAUGGUGGCUCACAAACAUCUGUAAUGAGAUCAGGUGCCCUCUUCUGGUGCCUUUGAAGACAAAGACAGUGUAGUGUCAUAUAUAUAAAAUAAAUAAAUCUUUAGAAAUUUGAAAAUAA